ensembl:lncRNA
CCUGACUGAGGUUGUUUGGGGGUUUUGGUUUCCCCUCGGGUAGAGCACUGUUUGAGAGGGCAUUGUUGCACGAAGUGGCUCUUCUUGCCGCAGUAGAAACAACAAUGUUCACGGCGCCGUCGUUCUCUCUCCUGCAUGCUCACCCGAGUCUGUCCCAGCUGCAUGGGUACACCAGGGCUCUCAGACGCUGGAACUUCCGCUUCGCUGCGUAAGGAGCGGCGGCUCCGUAGUAGACGAUCCAGGCGAAGAGCUAAAUUAAUGAGUGAGUCGAGAGUCAGCUGAUCAUCGCGACACGCCAGCUCCGUUACGAUGUCGGCAUUUAAUCCCCCGCGAAACAUAGUCUUUAGAGCGGGUUGAUUCCAUCCACUCCUAGCGGCCACAGUACGAAAUUCAAGAGCGUAAUCCGCCACACAACGUGAUCCCUGCGCCAAGGAUAAUAAUUCCUCCCCAGUCUCCCGGUUGUCUGGAGAAUGAGUCUCGCAUACAGUGUGGAAACGUGAUGUCAGCUGAUCAUAUGUACCGAUGGCGUUCCCUUCCUGUUCUCAUUCCGCGGUGGCCCAGAGGAGAGCUCUCCCGGUUAUGAGUUCCAUGAAGUGGAUUAUUUUCCGAUUCUCCGUCAUGUCUGGGAGGGACGGCGCAGAGACCUGGUGUUCUUCCCUUCAAGCCUUUCAGACACACCCACUAAGCAUCAGAUGAUUGCUGAUGAAGUUUUUAAUGUUGGAGGCUUUUUUUCUUCUUGAAGCCAGUGGGUUGUACUGAUGGCUAAGAGCAGCAUCUCACCGAGGAAAACUCUGAAGCGAUUGUUUUCCAAAAGCACCGCAGACCUGCAGGAAUCUGGUGAGAAAAAGGAGAGCAAAUUCCACACACUGUUCAAAUGGAGAGAGAAGAAGAAAGACAAGAGAGUGGAGUCUCCUGAACCUGGAUCAACAGAAGAGAAUGAUGGAGGAGACUGGAAUGCUGCAUCUAUCUACGCCACUGUGCCCAGGUCAAAGAAGGGGCUGUUUUCUCAUUCUGAGACUGAACUCCAUAAACCCAAGCGCUUUUCAACACUCUCUUUUGCCUGGAAGAAGAAGAAGAAGAACAGAGAUCUCUCUCAGAGCUCCUCAAGUAUCAAUGUGGAGUCAGAGGUCAGGGGUCAUAUCAGAGGACCAGAGGAUGAAAACAAGAUAGAACAACCUUCCCUCAAUCAACAAGUGCAUUCUGAGGUUGCUGAGAGUAAAUCAGUGGACAUUGAUGUUGGAAACACACAAGGUGAAGAUCAGUACGCAGUAGAAUUUAUGGUAGCUAACACAGCGUGCAUGAACAUUUCAUACAUUGACUCCUCAGUUUCUGGCAGUGAUGGUUACUGUACUCCUCCAGAAAGUCCUAGUUUGGGUGCUUCUCAAUCGCUUAGCAUUAACAGUACUGAAAUGCACCAAUCAUUUAACAAGUACAGCAAAAUUAAUUCACCUGACACCACUAUAUAUGGUACUGCUGAUGAAGGUUCCAGUUUAUCUGUCCUGAGCUCCACAGAGUUCUCUCACAUGAGUUCCUCAAACUCACCCACCAGAAUGUUUGAAGGCCACCUCGCACCAAGCAUUCCCAUUUCCACCAGCAUUGUGGCCUCCUCCAUCAACAGCACACUCAUAAACAGACACCAUUCGGAAAAGAGCAUCAGUGCUGAUAACAGGGAUCACUCUCUCGCACUUCAUCAAUGGGACAUGGGCAAAGAAAAUCCACAGUGGAUUGUAUCAACUGACUCCACCUCUCACAGGGAUGUAGUCGAGAAAUUUGAGGACGUAAACGCUAACCUAGCCUUAGGCUGUCCUGAACAAAGCUCCACUCAGCUCAAUGAAAUCACUGAUUCUAAAAACAGACCUGCAGAAAAGUAUCACAGAGAUAUAUCACUUUAUGAACCUGAGAUAGGAUUCCACAGAGACCGUUCUCACGUCAUUGAUGAUACCGUUCAAUACAAUGAAACUUUUUGGGAAAAUGCAGAGAGCGUGGAUCAUAUUGCAGGUCCUGAUUGUGGUUCAUCCAUCUCAUAUGAAGCUUCUGUAGAAUUAGUUCCUCUUUCCUGUCCUGAUGAUCCAGAGAUCAUCUACUCAACAACAGAAAUUUACAGCUCUUCUUUUGGUGAAAAUUAUGGAAAUCCA